GAGCGCCUAUUGUGAUUUCAGCAUGUGAAUUUUGAUGGUGAAACCUGCACCCAGCACCAGGAGACAUGGAGACUGCAGAGUCUGCAGACAUGGAGUCUGCAGAGAGCAAUGUGGGCAGGGAUGGAGUCUGAAGGUGAGCGGUGAGGAGGAAACUUGCCAAAGGAUACAGGCAAGUUAAGUGGAGAUAAAGAAAGAUGCUGAAUGUCCACCCAGAGCAGCAUCAAGAAGACCCGCCUAGGACUGUCCUGAGGGAGAUAUCUUCUCGGGAAUGCACCCCUGGGACCCUAGACAAGAAUGUGGCUGUGCUGUGGGU